rnacentral:rRNA from 1 species
CACGUAGGCGAAUAUUUAAGUCAGGGGUGAAAUCCCAGAGCUCAACUCUGGAACUGCCUUUGAUACUGGGUAUCUUGAGUAUGGAAGAGGUAAGUGGAAUUCCGAGUGUAGGGGUGAAAUUCGUAGAUAUUCGGAGGAACACCAGUGGCGAAGGCGGCUCACUGGCCCGAUACUGACGCUGAGGCACGAAAGCGUGGGGAGCAAACA